GCCUGAGUGGCUCAGUCGGUUAAGCGUCUGACUUUGGCUCAGGUCAUGAUCUCACGGUUCAUGGGUUCAAGCCCCGCCUCGGGCU
rnacentral:tRNA from 1 species